rnacentral:rRNA from 1 species
UACGAAGGGGGCUAGCGUUGUUCGGAAUUACUGGGCGUAAAGCGCGCGUAGGCGGUGAACUUUGUCAGAGGUGAAAUCCCGAGGCUCAACUUCGGAAUUGCCUUUGAAACGGGUUCGCUUGAGUCCGAGAGAGGAUGGCGGAAUUCCUAGUGUAGAGGUGAAAUUCGUAGAUAUUAGGAAGGACACCGGUGGCGAAGGCGGCCAUCUGGCUCGGUACUGACGCUCAGGCGCGAAAGCGUGGGGAGCAAACAGG